rnacentral:rRNA from 1 species
GAUGCACGCUGGCGGCGUGCCUAAUACAUGCAAGUCGAGCGAAGCGGGGACGGGUGAGUAACACGUGGAUAACCUCCUAUAAGACUGGGAUAACCUCGGGAAACCGGAGCUAAACCCGUUACUUAUAGAUGGCUCCGCACUGCAUUAGCUAGUUGGUAAGGUAACGGUUUACCAAGGCAACGAUGCAUAGCCGGCCUGAGAGGGGGAUCAGCCAGACGGGAACUGAAACACGGUCCAGACGCCUACAGUAGGCAGCAGUAGGGAAUCUUCCGCAAUGGGCGAAAGCCUGACGGAGCAACGCCGCGUGAGUGAUGAAGGUCUUCGGAUCGUAAAACUCUGUUAUGAGGGAAGCGGUACCUAAUCAGAAAGCCACGGCUAACUACGUGCCAGCAGCCGCGGUAAUAC